UGGCGGACGGGUGAGUAAUGUCUGGGAAACUGCCCGAUGGAGGGGGAUAACUAUUGGAAACGGUAGCUAAUACCGCAUAACGUCGCAAGACCAAAGAGGGGGACCUUAGGGCCUCUUGCCAUCGGAUGUGCCCAGAUGGGAUUAGCUAGUAGGUGGGGUAACGGCUCACCUAGGCGACGAUCCCUAGCUGGUCUGAGAGGAUGACCAGCCACACUGGAACUGAGACACGGUCCAG
rnacentral:rRNA from 1 species